AUUGAACGCUGGCGGCAGGCCUAACACAUGCAAGUCGAACGAGUGGGGGGGGGGUGAGUAAUGCUUGGGAAUCUAGCUCCUGGAGGGGGAUCACUAAGGGAAAAUGUAGCUAUUAUAGCGUACCAGAGGAGCAGCGCAAGUGGGAUUAGGUAGUUGGUGAGGUAAAGUCUCACCAAGCAGACGAUCUCUAGCUGGUCUGAGAGGAUGACCGGCCACACGGGAACUGAGACACGGCCCAGACUCCUACGGGAGGCAGCAGUGGGGAAUAUUGCGCAAUGGGGGAAACCUGACGCAGCCAUGCCGCGUGAAUGAAGAAGGCCUUCGGGUUGUAAAGUUCUUUCGGUAGCGAGGCGUUAACUACAGAAGAAGCACCGGCUAACUCCGUGCCAGCAGCCGCGGUAAUUC
rnacentral:rRNA from 1 species